rnacentral:rRNA from 1 species
UACGGAGGAUGCAAGCGUUAUCCGGAUUCAUUGGGUUUAAAGGGUGCGUAGGCUGACUAUUAAGUCAGUGGUGAAAGCCUGCAGCUUAACUGCAGAACUGCCAUUGAUACUGAUAGUCUUGAGUUUGGUUAAGGUAGGCGGAAUGUGUAAUGUAGCGGUGAAAUGCUUAGAUAUUACACAGAACACCAAUUGCGUAGGCAGCUUACUGAGCCGACACUGACGCUGAGGCACGAAAGCGUGGGGAUCAAA